AUUGAACGCUGGCGGCAGGCCUAACACAUGCAAGUCGAACGAGUUGCGAACGGGUGAGUAACGCGUGGUAACCUGCCUCAUAGCGGGGGAUAACUAUUGGAAACGCUAGCUAAUCCCGCAUACUUUCAGAUGGCCCUGGGUUGUAUUAGCUAGUUGGUGAGGUAAAGGCUCACCUAGGCGACGAUCCCGAGCUGGUCUGAGAGGAUGACCAGCCACACUGGAACUGAGACACGGUCCAGACUCCUACGGGAGGCUGCAGUGGGGAAUAUUGCACAAUGGGCGCAAGCCUGAUGCAGCCAUGCCGCGUGUAUGAAGAAGGCCUUCGGGUUGUAAAGUACUUUCAGCGAGGAGGCGUUACUCGCAGAAGAAGCACCGGCUAACUCCGUGCCAGCAGCCGCGGUAAUUC
rnacentral:rRNA from 1 species